rnacentral:rRNA from 1 species
UACGUAGGGGGCUAGCGUUGUCCGGAUUUAUUGGGCGUAAAGAGCGUGUAGGCGGCCAGGUAGGUCUGCUGUGAAAACUCGAGGCUCAACCUCGAGACGUCGGCGGAAACCAUCUGGCUAGAGUCCGGAAGAGGAGAGUGGAAUUCCUGGUGUAGCGGUGAAAUGCGCAGAUAUCAGGAGGAACACCGGUGGCGAAGGCGGGUCUCUGGGCCAUUACUGACGCUGAGGAGCGAAAGCGUGGGGAGCGAACAGG